rnacentral:rRNA from 1 species
AACGAACGCUGGCGGCAUGCCUAACACAUGCAAGUCGAACGAGAUCUUCGGGUUUAGUGGCGCACGGGUGCGUAACGCGUGGGAAUCUGCCCUUUGGUUCGGAAUAACAGUUGGAAACGACUGCUACUACCGGAUGAUGACGAAAGUCCAAAGAUUUAUCGCCAGAGGAUGAGCCCGCGUAGGAUUAGCUAGUUGGUGUGGUAAAGGCGCACCAAGGCGACGAUCCUUAGCUGGUCUGAGAGGAUGAUCAGCCACACUGGGACUGAGACACGGCCCAGACUCCUACGGGAGGCAGCAGUGGGGAAUAUUGGACAAUGGGCGAAAGCCUGAUCCAGCAAUGCCGCGUGAGUGAUGAAGGCCUUAGGGUUGUAAAGCUCUUUUACCCGGGAUGAUAAUGACAGUACCGGGAGAAUAAGCUCCGGCUAACUCCGUGCCAGCAGCCGCCGUAA